UCUGUGAGUGUUUUUCAACGAAAAAUUGGAAACAGAAAGUCAAAGUGCAAAUAAAGAAAAUUCGACCACGUAAAACUGCCCAGUCAGUUGUCUCGAAGAACUGGAGUGUGCCGCAUGGCAAGGCGGGCUGACGUCGGUGCCACGCGGGAGGCCAUGCUAGCAAUCCGCAUGCCCAUGAUCGGACGACCCAUGACCGAUCCCGCAUGCGUGGAGGAUCCGGAUCUGUUUCCCCCUUAGGUGUGAUUGGAUGGUUGAGAUUAAUUGCAAUAAAUAGUCCAAAUUCGUUUCCUCCUUAAAUGCAAUCAAACGGACGAGAUUGAUCGUGAUGGACGGUCCAGAUCAACGCGGGAUAGUUAUAAAUACUUUGCAUCACACGGGAACCUAAACCCUAACUGCCAGCCCCCACCGGAGAAGAAACAUCAGACGCUGGAGAAGGAGGUCGACCACUGACCGUCGCCGCACCGGAGCCACCGCCAACCACUAAAAAAGGUAAAAAUUCUCCCUACCCGCUCGAAAUUAGAUUCCG
rnacentral:lncRNA from 1 species